AAGUUUCCUGUGCGCUGCGGUGGCCGAGGGCUCUGAUGGAUUUUAACUUACAGCUUACGGUGUUACGGUCCUAUCAUUCAGAAGCCCCCACAAAAUCACAGCCGGAGUCUCCAAGCUGGUCACUGGGGUUAAACUGUUCCACAAAGCCAUGAGCCACACAGAUCUGUCAAAAUCAUUGCUUAGAGGCCAAGCAAUGGAAUACUGAGAAAGUUUUGAAUGGAUCCGGUUCUGGCAGGGGAAACUUGGAGAGAGGAGAGACCAGAGGAAGAAACAGAGAACCUAUUCCAAAAUCAGCCUGCUGAUUUCACAGAUUGAUGCUCUAAGAGGAAGAUGAUAACGAUCAAAAUAAACAAGCAAGUCAAACUCCAGCUCUGUGGAUGAGAGCCUCAGUUCUCCAGACUCUUACUGAUACUUUUCUGCUCAGGAAAGCCUUGCUCACUUUGCCAUGAGUGAUUCCUGAAGACAAGUUGUACCGGCACUCAUUAUGUCCUUCCUGCUCUUCCUCUGGAAAGAUCCAGUUCCUCGUAAUCAUUCUGAAUCUCAGCACACAGCCAUGGGACAUGCCUCCCAUCCUCUGCUAAGAUGUAAUGAUGAAAUAACAUAUAUAAGACUUCAAAAUAAUGGAUAAAUUCUUCCUUCAGAAUAACCCAGUCGUUUCUUUAUAGAAAGAGUUUCAGGAACAGUGAAAGACGUGAACCCAUAUCAUUAGAAGAGCUGACUGCAGUAACUCUUGAUGACGUGCUUGCUAUUCCAGACCGUAUCCCAUCCAACGAAGAACACUGUCCUGCAGAGCUUACACUCAAACCCAAUGAAAUGCGCAUGCUUACAAAGGUACCGCAGAACUAAAUAAUACACUGAUGUGCUUCCAGAAUCUUUCUGGCAACAGCUUUUUAAACAUUAAAGGUAGAGUUUUGUAUUUACACUGCAGUUUAUGGAUAGCCAUAAACAUUAUAGAAGACAUUUCCUAGCUGUGAAAGGGCUGAAGAUCUAAAUCUACCUUACCUCUUUUAAUUUAUUUUGCGCCAUAAAUGAUGUUGAAAUAUACUGAAUUUAACAACU
rnacentral:lncRNA from 7 species